UUUAAUCACGUUCUAACCUUUUGACAGUCAACUUUAAAGCCGUAAGCAAGCUUUCGACCCCAAAGUAACCAUCAGAGGCCAGACGGAUAGCCCGAAAGCAUUCGUUGCAAUCCUCAAUCCCGGUCGUCACAUCUACCAAGGGCUAUAACACUUCGAAAAAUCUGAAGCUACAUUCCCCCAGUCAUUUUGUAACGUCCAAAAUUGAUGUUAACCUACCACACGAAGAAAUGCACCUCAGAGCACUAAAGUACGAACAAACGAAGGUUUUAACUCCCCGAAUACCCGCAUUCCACACUCUAGAGGUUGAUUCUCCGUCGGUACGACUG
rnacentral:rRNA from 1 species